UGCAUUCCAUAUUUUUAUAACUUAUUAACAAAGAACUACCUUAUACCUUCUAAAGGGAGCUAUCACCAUCCUCCAGCAUUGUGCAUACCUAUUUCAUCUUCUUCUCACAGUAAUUUGUUGAUUUUUCAAUGAGAUAUGGAUGUGGAGUUGGAGCUUUCUUUUCUUCUCAUGUUUUUUCUUUUUUGGUAAGAAAAAAUAAAUAAUGACACGGAUGUCGGAGAUCUUCUGAAGUUGGUAACAGAAAUAAUUUUGUAUCCUUCCAUGCAGUCUUCCUAUCCGGUUUUGUACAAAUAUUGAGAGUUAAAAUCUCUGGUUUUCACUCUACAACGUGUGAUGAUUCCUUUGCAGCACCGCAGGACAUGAGGCCUCUGGACUGGAAGCAUGAAAUUUCUUAUGAAUGGAUGUUUACUCUUAGCUACAGAAGAUGGGUCUAUACAAUUGUUGAAGAAAUAGGAGCAGACAACCUGGUAAAUUUUAUAUAACGUUAUACAAGCAUACCACUGUGAUGUGAAUUGAUAAACCUUCUCUAAAGAUAGAUGACGUGUGACUGAACAUAACAUGAGCUUCCGUAGAGAAUGGAAAGGCCGAGCGAGAUUUAUGUAGCCAACUAUAAUGUAGUUGAAUUCAGCUUAGCUGAUUGUGAUGUCAAGUAUUGUCGACCAACUGAAAUUUGCUUUUGCUGUAACUUCUGCAAGAUGGAAUCUGUGUAUUGACUAUUUCAAGAUUUUAGAUUGGUAUAUGGAAAGAUAUACUUGUUUAUAGUAUACAGAGAUAAUUCUCUUAGAAUUUGCUUUCUCCCAUUUUUGUUUGGGGGAAAGAUUCAUGAAGUUCCUAAAUUGCAUGAGGAAGUAUCUCCUAAAAUGCCACUGCAAUGUGCACGUGUUAUAAGGAGGGUCUGAGAUGGCUAUUUCGGCUUUAAAGACUAUUUUGAAUCUCUAUGUGCAUGAUACUAUGGACGGUGGCCCAACUCAAAGCAUAUAUAUGCAGUUUGAGUUUGGUGUUGUACAAUGCGUGGGAUUUGACUCUAUAUGACUACAGGCUGCUGCUGAUAAAGCAUUUGCGGAUCCAAAUAAGCGGACUCAGAUGAGCAUCCUUAGCACAGCUGGGCCGAGGAGAUUUAGCAACUAUAGAACAAUCCGAGACUACGUGGAGAAGACUUGGGAAAUAGAACCAUGCAGAUUCCUUUCUGAUGGCUAGCACACCCUCAUCCACACCCCAGUAGCAACAUUUUACAAAUUUGAAUCAAUGGUCAAUAAACUUUCUAAUAACAUAUAUGUUCCAGAUAAGCAGCUGUGAGCUUGUGGCAAUGAGAGGGUAAUAAAGAGAUAGACAAGCAUCCGACGCCUAUACACGUGCGAGUGUAGGUGAUUGUGAGCCAUCAAUAUUACAUAUAUAGGAUUACAUGAGUUAUGAAAUUUACUUACAUGGUGGAUAUUAUUGUGUUAGCUCGCAUGUAUGAACCACCGAUGGUAGCAAUGCUAUAAUAUGAGAGUGCUGAUGAGUAGAUUUUAUAUUA